CUUGACCGAGCCCAGCCACAGCGGGCGGUCGUCCGGGCGUUCCUGUCCGUACGUGGCCAGCAGCGCGUCGACCUC
rnacentral:antisense_RNA from 1 species